GCGAGUCUAGCUAGGUGAGUAAAGCAUGUGACUCUUGAUCUCGGGGUCAUGAGUUUGAGCCCCAUGGCAGGCA
rnacentral:tRNA from 1 species